rnacentral:rRNA from 1 species
GAUGAACGCUAGCGGCAGGCCUAACACAUGCAAGUCGAGGGAGAGGUUAUCUUCGGGUAACCAAAACCGGCGCACGGGUGCGUAACGCGUAUACAAUCUGCCUUUCACAUAGGGAUAGCCCGAAGAAAUUUGGAUUAAUACCUAAUGGUAUAUAAGAGCGGCAUCGUUUUUAUAUUAAAGCUACGGUGGUGAAAGAUGAGUAUGCGUUCUAUUAGCUAGUUGGAGAGGUAACGGCUCCCCAAGGCGAUGAUAGAUAGGGGUUCUGAGAGGGAUGUCCCCCACACUGGUACUGAGAUACGGACCAGACUCCUACGGGAGGCAGCAGUGAGGAAUAUUGGACAAUGGUCGGAAGACUGAUCCAGCCAUGCCGCGUGCAGGAUGAAGGUCCUAUGGAUUGUAAACUGCUUUUGUAAGGGAAGAAUAAGGGGUACGUGUACUUUGAUGACGGUACCUUACGAAUAAGCAUCGGCUAACUCCGUGCCAGCAGCCGCGGUAAUACGGAGGAUGCGAGCGUUAUCCGGAAUCAUUGGGUUUAAAGGGUCCGUAGGCGGGCUGAUAAGUCAGAGGUGAAAGCGCUUAGCUCAACUAAGCAACUGCCUUUGAAACUGUCAGUCUUGAAUGAUUGUGAAGUAGUUGGAAUGUGUAGUGUAGCGGUGAAAUGCUUAGAUAUUACACAGAACACCGAUAGCGAAGGCAUAUUACUAACAAUUUAUUGACGCUGAUGGACGAAAGCGUGGGGAGCGAACAGG